GACCACGCUGGACGAGGAGGCGCUGACGCGCUACCGGCGCGUCAACGUGGGCUUCGUGUUCCAGUUCUACAACCUGAUCCC
rnacentral:tRNA from 1 species